rnacentral:rRNA from 1 species
GAUGAACGCUGGCGGCAUGCCUAAUACAUGCAAGUCGAGCGAAUAGGGGACGGGGGAGUAACACGUGGAUAACCACCUAUAAGACGGGGAUAACUUCGGGAAAACGGAGCUAAUACGGCUAAUUAUAGAUGGAUCCGCGCUGCCUUAUCUAGUUGGUAAGGUAACGGCUUACCAAAGCAACGAAGCAUAGCCGACAUGGGAGGGUGAUCGGCCCACACGGAACUGAGACAAGGUCCCGACUCCUACUGGACGCAGCAGUAGGGAAUCUUCCGCAAUGGGCGAAAGCCUGACGGAGCAACGCCGCGUGAGUGAUGAAGGGCUUCGGAUCGUAAAACUCUGUUAUUAGUGAAGCGGUACCUAAUCAGAAAGCCACGGCUAACUACGUGCCAGCCGCCGCGGUAAUAC